UACGUAGGUGGCGAGCGUUGUCCGGAUUUACUGGGCGUAAAGGGAGCGUAGGCGGACUUUUAAGUGAGAUGUGAAAUACUCGGGCUCAACUUGAGUGCUGCAUUUCAAACUGGGGGUCUAGAGUGCAGGAGAGGAGAAUGGAAUUCCUAGUGUAGCGGUGAAAUGCGUAGAGAUUAGGAAGAACACCAGUGGCGAAGGCGAUUCUCUGGACUGUAACUGACGCUGAGGCUCGAAAGCGUGGGGAGCAAACAGG
rnacentral:rRNA from 1 species